rnacentral:rRNA from 1 species
AACGCGAAGAACCUUACCUGGCCUUGACAUACUAGAAACUUUCCAGAGAUGGAUUGGUGCCUUCGGGAAUCUAGAUACAGGUGCUGCAUGGCUGUCGUCAGCUCGUGUCGUGGGAUGUUGGGUUAAGUCCCGCAACGAGCGCAACCCUUUUCCUUACUUGCCAGCAUUUCGGAUGGGAACUUUAAGGAUACUGCCAGUGACAAACUGGAGGAAGGCGGGGACGACGUCAAGUCAUCAUGGCCCUUACGGCCAGGGCUACACACGUGCUACAAUGGUCGGUACAAAGGGUUGCUACACAGCGAUGUGAUGCUAAUCUCAAAAAGCCGAUCGUAGUCCGGAUUGGAGUCUGCAACUCGACUCCAUGAAGUCGGAAUCGCUAGUAAUCGCGGAUCAGAAUGCCGCGGUGAAUACGUUCCCGGGUCUUGUACACACCG